rnacentral:tRNA from 1 species
GGUAAAGUGGCCGAGUAGGUGGUGGGUUGUAGCCCCAAAGACGGAGGUUCAAGUCCUCUCUUUACCA